rnacentral:tRNA from 1 species
GCCUGGGUGGCUCAGUUGGUUGAGUGUCUGACUUUGGCUCAGGUCUUGAUCUCACAGUUCGUGGGUUCCGGCCCCGCGUCGGGCU